CCUCCCUGUCUCAGGUACUCAUCUUCAAGCAGGCUGCCACGCGCCUAAUGCACCUGAUUGUCUCAUCGGCACAUUCCAAGCAACAAAGGAGACGAGCUGAGGCAAAUCCUGGGACACUGAUACACUUGUUCUAUCCCCACAGGUGUAAGAACCUUCUGUUUUGUAAGCUUCUGGGUGUAGACAUCCAGUAACUCCGUACAUUCUUUCCUAAGUUUGCACUGUCUUCUGUUUUUAAUGACACACUACACUUCAGUUCAGAUUUCUUGCGACCCUGUUGACUAUUUGCAACAAAACGUUUGAUGGUUCUGUGAUCACGCCCCAAAAUCUUAGCAAUUUCAAGAGUGCUGCAUCCCUCAGAAAGUCAGUUAAAUCUCUUUUUUGGUCCAUUUUGCCUAAGGAAAAGAAGCUGCCCAAUAAUUAUACGCAGGCGUGGAGCGGAGUGACGUCACAGACGUGAUGCUACGCUUUUUGGAGCAUGCGCAGUGGUGAAAUGGAGACACUGCCCCCCCCGUUUGUCAAUCUCAAAGUGGAGCACAUCACUUCUGGAAACUCUCCAUCUCCCAUCUUGCUCCAAAUCCUCUGUGCUGCUCUGGUAGUCUGUUCUUCUUUUUCUUUUUGAGCUUGGAUCUCUCUUGGUUGAAAUAUACAACACAUGGGAUUAAUUACACACAUCUGGAAUUAUUCAACCCAUUGUCCCUGAAGAAGCCUUCCACUCUACCAGUUGAAAUGCAUUGGAUUUCCUCUGUCCCUCUGACAGUGGAAUUGGGUUUUUCCAUUCAGUCCCAUAUUGUCCUAUUUCACCAUAUGUUUGCUUUUAUCAUUUACAAUGUAUUGUUCAACUUUAACAUUUAUGUAAUACAUUUUCUAUUUUUAUAAGAAUCACUUUUGUUGAUGGGGGAAUGGAGCAAUUUUCUUUCCUUCAGCCCAUGGUUGAAGAAAAGAAGAUUACAUAAUGUAUGGCCUGCCUUAGACACAAUGCUUUCACUUUUUUGACAGCUCUGCAUAAUAUGCUUCUGUUCUAUAAACCAAUAAAAUUAAUAAUAAUGACGGCCAGAGUUCUAAUACAUUUUUAAAAGAUGUCUUUGCCCAAUUCUGAAGGUGAAAUUAGCAUUGUAAGCAUAACAUUUCUUCCUCUGAAAGAAAUAUACUAUACAAUUUCUUAAAUGUUCAUGAGCAAUACUCAAAGGAAUAAAACUAUCACAAUCCUAAGCCAUUAUUAAACACUCAAUUCAUUAGAGAACAUGGAAAGUUUAUACAAAAUAUAAGUGACAUGUCAGAGAACCAGUUGUAUUAUUCUACCGUUAGCUAUGACAGAAUAAUAGUAGUAUUGGCACAAAUGUCACUGUGAUGGUUUUACCACUGAUAGUAUAGUAUUUAUAAUUGCGAUUAUAUAAAGUUUGUCUGAAGUUUAGGGUUACAAUUACAAGUUAGAUUAGGGGUUAGCUUGAGGAAUAUAUUAGUAUUAAAGUCCAUGACCUCUGAUUCCUCUUGUACCAAAUUGUAAAGUAACUGUAAUGUCUGCCUUCAUUUUGUUAAGCGCUGCGCAAACUGUUGGCGCUAUAUAAAUCCUGUAUUAUUAUUAUGUUUAUGCAAAAACCCUCAGUUCCCUGGACCCCGACUCCUAUUCAUUCACAGUUUUUUUUAAAACAACACUAACCCACUUGUUACUCUUUCUGUACUGCAGUCAUGGGACCCACCACAGAGCCCCUUCCCUUAUUGCAGACAAGUGAUUCACUGCUGAAGUUUUGGUACAGUGAGUAUUCUUGUUGCUCCCACUUUAAUCAUAACGCAGUCAUGUAAAAUCUUAAGGAGAACCUUUUUGAGGGACCCUGUAAGAAACCUUCUGAUCUUCAGAACAGUUUAGGCACCCAGACAAUAGAAAGCAUCCUCGUCAUCAGGGAAUGACAUGGCCACUCAAAGUAGGACCCCUCACCAAAAAAAGAAGACUCAGCCUGGUAAGCAUGUAGGCAAGUUGCCUACUGUGAGCUAGUUAGUCAGUUUUGGUUGUCCUAGCCAGGAGAAAGGGGUUAAUGUUUGUCCACCUCCCUGGGCUACGUUUGCAGGCUUUCUGGGGUCCAUGCUCCUAUCCUGUGUGUUUUAAAUGGGUCCAGAUCCCUGGAGGUGCUAGAGUUACAGAGGAAAAGGGGGAAGAAGACAAUAGAAAGCAUCCUCUUCAUCAGUGAAUGACAUGGCCACUCAAAGUAGGACCCCCACACCAAAAAAAGAAGAAGACUCAGCUGGGUAAGCGUGUAGGCAAGUUGCCUACUGUGAGCUAGUUAGUCAGUUUUGGUUACAAAUAAAAAAAUAAAAGGAAAUCCUGCAAGCCACCAUCUCCUAGAUCAGGGGUGCCCAACCUUUUGAAGAACGAGGGCCACUUAAAGUGGAGCUCCACCCUCUUUGACUACCUGGCUUCAUCCCCUGUAGUUCUGUCUCCUUAAAUAGAUUUGGCAUAUUAAAAAAAUUUUGGUAAAAAACUCACUGUUAAAUUAAUAAUCUAUUUGUUGUUCCGGCCGCAGCGACUCCAGCGGCCUCAGCAUGUCAUCUACUGACCGCUAUGCCUCCUGGGAGAUGUAUGUCCUCAAUCCCAGGAGGCCGUGGGCCGUAGCAUUGCGGAGAUGCCCGGCGCCAUUUUAAAUAAGGGAAAACUGGCAUGCUUUGCCAGUGUUUACCUAGCGUCCAAAGGAGUAACAUCCCCGGGGGAGGAUAAACUAUUUGAGAGCGGUAAGUGUCAUGGAUAAUCCCGGGGGUCAAAAGCAGCAGUGUGAUGGGCGCAGUGACAGCGGCAGUGUGAUGGGCGCAGUGACAGCGGCAGUGUGAUGGGCGCAGUGACAGCGGCAGUGUGAUGGGCGCAGUGACAGCGGCAGUGUGAUGGGCGCAGUGACAGCGGCAGUGUGAUGGGCGCAGUGACAGCGGCAGUGUGAUGGGCGCAGUGACAGCGGCAGUGUGAUGGGCGCAGUGACAGCGGCAGCGUGAUGAUGGCAAUGUGCGGUGGGACAUGUGCUGUGAUGGGGGACAAUGUGUGGUGGGACAUGUGCAGUGGGACAUGUAAUUUGAAUAUGUUACCUUCAUACCUGUUAUUAUAUUCUUAUCUUGCAAUAAAAUAAGAUUUAACUAAAAAAGUUUAACUCGGCAAGUCACGGAAGAGGAGGUAGUUGCUAUGUAACCGAGUUAAGGGACACACUACAAGCAACCAGUCAUUUGGCGCAGUACCUGAUUAGGUGGCAGGCCCUCCAAUAGCAAAAGGCGGUGAUAAGGACUGGUGUAGUGGGCGCAGGCUCAGCGCGUUUCCCCUAAUGCAAACAUACAAUUUACAGUGUGCAGUAACAUAGGACAAGUCGCUUUUCAGAGGAACUCUGCAUUUUAUUGCUGUACACAGUGAAAGCUCAUCUCUAGAUUCGGGAACUGUCGUUCUAUUAUUCCCAUAACCACAGUCUCUGUCUGGUCCCGAGCAAUGAUGAGCAUACUCCACACAAGUGUAACCCCAUGUGUACAGGCGUGUAUGACCCCGCCCACAAGUGACUGUGGAUUCAGGGAAGAAUUUGUGGCUUUUUUGUUUUAUGUAACAAUCAAUUAGAAAGGAUGGGGAUUGAGCUAAAGGGCAGUGGGAUGGGGGAUUUGUUAAGAUAUUAGAUUUAAUGAAUAGGAAAGGUAAUUGUUUUGGGCAUAGAUAAAACAGUAUUAUUAAAAACUCAUA